CACUCAGCUUUCUGAAAUGGUGUCCCACCACAAGGACUGGAGAAGGGCACCCUUGGAAAUGCAAUGCUAUAUCUCAAUGGGAUUUUCCAGUACAGAGAUUCUUUUCAAUAACAUAAUUGUGGAUACACACCACUCCUGUAGUGACACAAAGCAAAUUUGAGCGAUUUUCUUAUUUGAGUUCAAAAUGGGCUGUAAAGCGGUGGAGACAACUCGCAACAUCAACAAUCCAUUUGGCCCAGGAACUGCUAAGGAAUGUACAGUGGAGUGGUGGUUCAAGAAGUCUGGCAAAGGAGAUGAGAGCCUUGAAGAUGAGGAGUGUAGUGGCUGACCACUGGAAAUUGACAACAACCAAUUAAGAGCGGUCAUCGAAGCUGAUCCUCUUACAAUGACACAAGAAGUUGCCAAAGAACUCAGUGUUGACCGUUCUUUGGUCAUUCAGCAUUUGAAGCAAAUUGGGAAGGUGAAAAAGCUUGGUAAGUGGGUGCCUCAUGAGCUGAGCGAAAAUUUUUAAAAAAUCAUUGUUUUGAAGUGCUGUCUUCUCUUAUUCUACGUGACAACAAUGAACCAUUUCUCUAUCAGAUAGUGAUGUGCAAGGAAAAGUGGAUUUUAUAUGACAAUUGGUGAUGACCAGCUCAGUGGUUGGACAAAGAAGAAACUCCAAAACACUUCCCAAAACCAAACUUGCACCAAAAAAAGGUCAUGGUCACCAUUUGGUGAUCUGCUGCUGGUGUGAUCCACUACAGCUUUCUGAACCCCAGCAAAUCAUUACAUCUGAAAAGUAUGCUCAGCAAAUUGAUGAGAUGUACUGAAAAC
rnacentral:lncRNA from 1 species